rnacentral:rRNA from 1 species
GAUGAACGCUGGCGGCGUGCCUAAUACAUGCAAGUCGAGCGAACAGACGAGGAGCUUGCUCCUCUGACGUUAGCGGCGGACGGGUGAGUAACACGUGGAUAACCUACCUAUAAGACUGGGAUAACUUCGGGAAACCGGAGCUAAUACCGUAUAACAUGUUGAACCGCAUGGUUCAACAGUGAAAGACGGUCUUGCUGUCACUUAUAGAUGGAUCCGCGCCGCAUUAGCUAGUUGGUAAGGUAACGGCUUACCAAGGCAACGAUGCGUAGCCGACCUGAGAGGGUGAUCGGCCACACUGGAACUGAGCCACGGUCCAGACUCCUACGGGAGGCAGCAGUAGGGAAUCUUCCGCAAUGGGCGAAAGCCUGACGGAGCAACGCCGCGUGAGUGAAGAAGGUCUUCGGAUCGUAAAACUCUGUUAUUAGGGAAGAACAAAUGUGUAAGUAACUAUGCACGUCUUGACGGUACCUAAUCAGAAAGCCACGGCUAACUACGUG